rnacentral:lncRNA from 1 species
UUUUCUAGGAAAAGUGUUCAUACUUUCAUUCAGAAAAUAGAACAGAAUGCUUGUUACCUACUAAGCCUCCCUGACAGUUACUGGGGACUCAAAUGCUGAGCGUACUCAGGAGAACAGGCAGCAAGUGACAAUGUGGACAGCAUUCCAAAUCUCUUAGCCUCACCAGUGUAGAAUUCACAGAACCACCUGCAAUUCAAGUUAGAGGAUUGCAGUCCAGUUUUCUGACAGUAAGUAAUUUCCAUCACUAUGAGUGCAGACAUGUGCCCUGGGAUAAGAUGAGUGAUGUUCCAAGUCACCACCCUGAAUGAGGACCAGGAUUGACAAAGGUGGACUUUACCUUCCUCAAGUUCUUCUUCCAAAAACCCAGAGAUCUCACUUUCCCAGAGCUCAGGCAUCAGAACUGAUGGAAAAACAAGGUAGCACCUUUCUCCGAGAAGAUCAGGGGGCUGUUUGAACACAAGUCAACAUUAUAUAUGGUUCUUCUGUUCAUGCCUGUUUGCUUGGUUGCUCAAUUCUGCUUCCGCUGUGGGUUCUUUGUUCCCUUUCUUUUGCUUAUUGCUGCUCAUGGUUGUAAUGGUGUUCUGUUAUAUCCAUUUACCUAAAGCACUUGAGACUUAUGUUUUAGGAAUCUAGAAGACCAAGAAGACAUGCUUAAAAAUGGAAUUUUUUAUGAUUGCAACAUGGUGAUUCACCCUUUUAUAUAUUACAAGUUCAAU